AGAUCAGGAGUUCAAAACCAAACUAGGCUACAUGACAUUCUGUCUUAUUAUAAAAAAAAGAAAGAAAGAAAGAAAAAAGACCAAGGGACAGAGAAUGAUGGGGAGAAGUGUGCACAUGAGUGCCCCUGUGUGCACAAGUUUGUGUGUGUGUAUAUGUGGGGGUGGGGGGUCCUGGGGUAAUCAUGGUGGGACUCUGCUGAAAGAGACUGGAGCCAUGACCCUGCACACCCACUGCUCCUCGUUUUCCUUUUCUGUGAAGGUUUUCAUCGGGUGCUGCUUGCUUACAACAACCAGUAUCGUGUGUGUGCACCUGUCCUACUUGCUUGUUCCCUAUAUUAAAGGGGUCUAUCAUUUCUAGCUUUUUCUGUUUUUCCUUAUAAAUCAGAGGAGCAUUCUGGGAUGCGCUUUCAGACCUCAGCAGUUUUGCUGCCAUUGUGUCAAUUCUUUAAAGUUGCUCCUGAAUGUUUUCCUAAGUGGCAUGGAGCUUGGCUUGUGUUUCCACAAGCUCACCAAGGGCUGGUGAGUUAGGCUCUGCAUUCAGUUAUAUAAUGUCAGGCUUGUCCCCUGCCCCCUAUCUUGAUAUGUAUUAAUUCGUGUAGCAUAGUUAAUUCAGAUUGCAUGGUUCCCCAAGAGAGAUGCUGUCAGGUGAGGAUAUUUGUCCUGAAAUAAGUGAAAACUGUUGACAAGGUUCUUUGGCCACACUCCUACAUGUAUUUGCUAUCAGCUGCUAGCCUCAUAAAGUACAUACCCCCAGAACUGAGGAAAUUAUAUUGGUUUUAGGGUUCUUGAGAGAUGUUUAUUUAGCUGAAACUGUAAAUAUAUACAAGAAGCUGGAGGUCAUCAUUGAAAGCCACAGAUAAAACAGGAAUUGUGGGCUUUUGGAUUAAGAUGACAGCUACAGAAGUGGGAUAUGGUGGGGAAAGAGAAAAGAAAAGAUUAUGUAGUUGGUUGUACCAUUUUUACAUUAUUAGCUGCUCAUAUAUAAAUUGCUGAGAGUGCAGAACAAGUAGGAUUUUUUUUCUAUGUAAGUAAUAACAUUUAAAGAAAAAAUUAUGGGUAUAAAAGAAGUGUGUACCAUAGUGUACUUUUUAUGUUGAAGUCAAUAAAUACCAGUCUUGGCUGAGCAUGGUGGCACACUAAUCUCAUCACUUGGGACACAGAAGCUGUCAGAUCUUUGUGAUUUGUAGGCCAGCCUCAUCUACAGAGCAAAUUCCAGGCUACCGGGACUACACAGUGAGACCCAAUCUCAAGUCUUGAGUUCUGUUCCUGCACUGAUUGCUUCCUUGUAAUCGGAAAGAAUGAAAGCAGCAGCAGGGCUAGAGAAAAGGUUAAGAGCUGUGGAGUAUUUUCUGGGCUAGCCUGGGGCUGUUGUUCAUCCAAUUUCCUGAACCAUGUAAAACAAAGGAGAAAAUCAGGAAAUUGGCAGAAAAGCAUUUUAAGAAGCCAAAUUCCUCCUGUCAAAACUCCAAAAGCCUCUUUUCAGUUUAGGUGUUUACUUGUCAUGUUUACUCAUAGUUUAGAUUCAUUCCUGUAAAAAUUUCACAAUUAGUUUCCUAAUAUAUUGCAAAUGACAGAACAUAUUGGAGAAGCAAAAUUGUUUGGAGGCAAGCAAAAGGAUCGUGGUUGAAAAUCGAAAUUUGACAUCAUGAUGGCAAAAGAUGACAUUUUUUAAUUGAUCAGAUGUAACAGUUGUGGACAGUUGGUUGCAAAACAUUCGCUCUUUGCUGUUCUCCAUAUCUGGAAAACCAUCACUUGGAGUUAACAUCAUUUAGGACUCUGAAACUCCAUCACAAAAUCCCCUACACCUACCCCUCCAAGAUUAGGUGCUUCUUCUAACUUGGCAUCUCACAAAUUAGUGGUCAUCUAGUUAGACCCUGCUGUGUGGUCCAGGCUCCCCCCGCUGGCACAGUCAUCACCCCAGUCAUACUGGGAGACCUUGCUGAUCCCAGAUGUGCACAACAGCUGUUCACAGUUCCCUGCCUUUGCAUGUCACACUCCUCUUCACUAAAUCCCUCAUAUUACAAAGCACUGCUCCUGUUCAAGGCCCACUUUAAAGGCCAGGCUUUGAUGAGCCGCUCUUCCAGCUUUCCUGCACAGAAGCAUUCCCAUGUCUAUGCUGCAGUCAUUUUAUACUUUUAAUGUUUCCUUAUUCCUUAUUUCCAGGUAGGAAAUAAGGGUGAGAUUAGUAACAGUUGUAGGGGAGGGGAAAGUAUGCACACAGAAAUGCUUGUACUGAUGGCUAGAGACAGUUCUCGGUUGUUAUAUGUAAUAGAAUUUAGUCUUCAACUAAAAACAUAAAAAUUGUAUUAUUACUGGGAUAGCAUCUUUUAAAAAAAUAUACAGAAAUCCAAGAUCAAGUUUUCCAUUUCAAGUCAACUGAGUCAUGCUGGCUUUGGAUUGAGAAUGGCGUCACCACAGCAUGUUACUUUUUAUAACCUGUGUUCUUCAGUCUUAACCUCCCCUACAACUUUUACAGUGGGCAGCUUAGCAGAACAUCUAGAUUGACUUGAAUUUCAUGUUUUAUUACUUAUUUUUACUUUAACUGUGUGACAGUUCUCAUAUGUGCGCAGAUGUGAAAAGCUCAGAGGACAGCAUUUUCUGGGAGUCAGUCCUCAACUUCCCUCCUCGCUGAGGCAGUGUGGCCUGCGACUCUGUCCUCCUGUCCUGUUUCUCACCUUGUCUCUGGAAGCCUAGGAUUACUGAUGGACCACAGCAUCUGCUUUUUACAUGGGUGCUGGAUGUUGAACCCAGGUGAUCAGUCUCCAGCAGCAAACACUUUUACCAAUCGAAUCCUUCUCCUCAGUCCACAUUUCACAUUUUAUAAUUACCUGUGGCUUUCUUAUUUUAAUUUCUGUUGUUAAUGUAAUAAUGAUUCACUGGGCUAAUGCAUAGAAAGGAAACACUGCCCUUCCUUAAUUUGAAAAUUCUUUUCUGUUCUUUUCUGAGAACAGGCCAAUCGCUUUCCCUAUAAUUGCCUGCCUGACGUGUGACAGGCAAUCUGUGUAAACUAGAUUUUUGGUUUCAGUAUUGUCUCUUAAUUACAGACUUCUGAAAGAUACUUUAAACAGAAAUGAUGGAUUCAGAUUCCCAUGUAUUCAACAAUGACAGAAGGAUGGAAUUUCCUAUUUUGGAUUCUAAUAGUGCUGAGAAGCUGGAAAGAAUGACUGUUUGAGCCAGAGGGAGUGGAGCCAUAUCACAUAGUAAUAAUGACAUCUGCAAAAAAGCGUCUAGAAAUUGUACUAAAUGCCUGGUGAAAUCUUACUACAAAGAAUCUAAGCUUCCAAAAAGGUAAGAAAUUUGGGACUUCUAUACAUUUCAUAUUUAAACUAGAUACAAAACAGUCAGUAUGAUUUUAUUUAAAAAAAAAAAAAAGAGAGAGAAAGAGAAAGAGAACUCCGGGUUUAUCAUAGGAUCAGUAUGAUUCAGAAGCACCAUCACACCUUGUGUGUAUAGUGAUCUACAACCAUUUGAUGUUUAGAAAACAAUGAUUAGCUAAUCAUGGUAGUGCACGCCUGUAGUUCCAUCUCUUGGGAGGUAGAGGCGGGAGGAUCAGGAGUUUGAGGUCAGCCCAGGACACAUGAGAUCCUGUCUCAAGAUAAAUGAAUUAAUAGAAGUGAAACACUGUAUCUGUGUGAUGUGCUGUGUGUAUGGGGAAAGUAAUGGGUGGGUGUGAAGACAAUAAAAAAAAAAAAGAUCUCCCAAACUGUAUAUGAAAGACAGAAAUAAAUAAGUAUAAAUACUAAUACAGCAAACAAGUGGAUAGAGUAAGGAUGAAAAAGUCAUGCCAUGCUGAGCCUAGGCAGAAUGUGGGUUAGAGGGUUCCCCUCCCCAACUGCUAAUUGAGCAUCUGAUGUCUUUAAACUUACUCUCAGAAGCAUAAUGGUUAUUAGGUAGGGCCGAUAGCUCAGGCCAGAUGCAUAGCCUGGUAUCUUACAAUUCAUUUCCAGUGUUUGUAGGUGUGGUGGGCUCUGAGUCUAGACUGAGGUGAUGAUCAAAUGCUGGAAGACCCAGUUUCCCUAGAAUCAAAGAAAAACUAAAUUACACUUGAUGCUUAAUCUACUUUUAAAAUUGUUUCCCUGGAAACUGGGCUUUGUAAUCAUAGAAAACAAAGACCUCUUUGCCAAUGAAUAUUUUUUUUUGUAUUCAUGUCAGUACUAUAUUGUUUCUUCUGUUACUACACAAUGAAUAUUUUUUAUGUGCCCCAAAUAUUGCAUGGGACAUACAUGGACUAAAAAUUAUUUGUCCAUUAUUUGAAGUUUAGAUUUAAUGGCAAGUCUAAUACUUGGUUUCAUAGCCCUGUGUAGGACCUGACAAGACAGACAGUAAUAGUGAAUCUUUGGUCUGUAUUGGUAAAUAGGAGUCUGAAAUAUAGACUGUAUGUAAGUUUUAAGAAUGUACCAGUAUUCAAAGCCAAUUUUAAAGGCCACCUGUUUUUGUUAAUUAGAACCAACAAGGGAUAUUUUACAUUUAGGAACUAAAUUCAGUAAACUGAAGCAGUGUUUUGAGCCAUUAACAUAAACUCAGUAAUGAGUCUAUGUUGGGACCCUUUGGGGCAUCUUCAUUAUCAUUUCCUGGUAUACAAGAGACUGUAUACAAGAAGUGUGAGUGGACCUAUGUCCACUAAAUGGGGCACAGCUGUUUCUGUGCUUGGAGCUGUCAAGGAUUUAAAGAAUUUUGGGAGCAGGUAGAGGUAGAAAGGCCCUGAGAACCUGGGGCAGCCAUCUGCUUUGUAGAUGAGACCCAGUGGUGCUCCACUCUGUUCAGGGUCAUAAAGUGGGUGAGAACUCAGGUCAGUCCUAAGCAUUCACAGUAGUAUUCAUUCAAGGUGAUAUUUGAGUGUUAGCUUUAUGUUGCCACAACUAUAGCUUCAGGUAGUGUGCUGGAUACUGAGGAAGACAGUGGUUAGAGCAGCUUUGUCCUGUGUAUAUCGAAAUGUAUUGUGUCUCUGAUUAUCCUAAAUAGAUGGCAUAAAAUGAUUUAUUUAAAGUGUAUAGUCCUGAGCUACAAGUCUUACUUUUUAUCCUUGGAGCUUAUUCUCUUAUUCUACAGUUGUACAAAAAUUUCAUGCAAGUCUCCAGAUAUUUUAUAACUUACACACUUGUGCACCUUGUAGUCUUGAGCUGCUUUUUUAUUUGUAGUUGACUUAGUCACCCUCGGUAGUGAUUGUUAAUAUCAAGGAGACCUGAUUGGAUGUACAAAGGAAAAUGUUAUCAGGUUAUAUUGUUGCCUGAGAUAGCAAACAAACAAAAUCCUGACCUUAACUAAUGCCUCAUAUUUUCCUUGAUUUAAAUUUCUGCCAACAGCACAUGGGAUCUCUGGAUUAGUUAACAGAAUAGACCUGAUUUUCUUGUCAUGUGCAACAGUAUUCUUACACACUCUUUUACCUAUCUACCAUCCAUCUAUCUAGGAGCUAUUUGACUUAGCAUAGAAUAAAUCAAUAGGAAAGAUAGUAUCACAAGUACUGUAUGACUCCCCCUUUCUUAUUUUGGCCAUCUAAUGAAUUCUCAGCAGUGGUUCCCAAAUAUGCUUGGUUUGCUUUAACAUCAAACUGUAACUUGUAAGACCUGGCUAUUGGAAUUGUUGUGUAAGUAACAUUUGUUUCAUUCCCACACUGAACCUUAUUACUCUUAAAAUGUUAAUGAUUUUCUCUCAGCAAAUAAGAAACGAUGUUUGUUUGUUUGUUUUAGAGCUCCCAUUUUUGUGAUUAUUAAUGUCAGUUCUUUAUCACUUGUUGUUCAUUAAGAAAAAGAAUGGGGGGGCUACGAAGAUGGCACAGUGUUUAAAAUGCUUGCUGUGCCAGCAUGAGAACUGGAAUUAGGAUUCCAGAAACCUCUAUAAAUGCCAAGAGAACAGGGUAGCCACCUAUAAUUGUAGCCUCAGAAGACAAGAGAUGCCCCAGCAAACUGGCUUAUGAGUAAUAGUUAUAAUGUGAGUGACUCUGGGUUUGGUGGAGAUCUUUCCUCUAUAAAUGAAUGUUUAUUCAGUUAUAUCAUUACCUGAGAUAGUGAACAAACAAAACCUGAUCUUAACUAAUGCCUGUCUUCUCCUUGAAUUAGAUUUUCCACAUGCACUCAUACCUAUGUGCACCUGUUCACACAUGUAUGGAUGUAUACAUGUACAUACAUGUAAAUAUACUAAAAAAUAAAGGAUAAAAAACAACACUGAGCCAAAUUAUCACGUUUAUAAGACUACUUAGAAUGAGGUUUUAGUAAUUUUUAAGCACUUAAUAGGUUGGAAAGAUGGCUCUGGGAAUAGAUGUGCCUGCUGCCAAACCUGAUGACCUGAGUUCCAUCCGAAGGACCCAUAAAGCAAAAGGACCAAUGGCUGCACCUUAUCUCCGGACCGCCACAUACCUACUGUGGUAUGAAUGCUCCCCACACAAGUCCCUGAAAAAUGAGUACAAUGUAAUAAAACUUAAAACAACUUGGUUUUUAAGCUUGACUGUCUCUUCAAGUUGAAAUAAAUUAUCUAAUUAAAUAUUCAACCUAAGUUCUAAUUAAAGUUUUAUGUCAUUUUAAAAGAGCAUUUUGUGUUACUAUCUUUAUGGGAAAAUUAUUUUGUUGGAAUUUGAAUUAGAAAGGGACUGGGUGAUUAGCAUGUUCUUUUCUUUAACCUUAGUGCAUAAUAAAUUUAAAAACCCUAAUCAUUUGUUUUAAAUCAUUUGUAUUUGUGGAAAACACAAAUAUUCUCUAAAGGGUAUUAUAUUAAGUUAAUUUAGUAGAGGUCCGCCAGCUGUCUUUGCCUAGUGCAUGUAGCUCUCACACUUACUCAAAGCAGCUUCUCUACAAUAGGAGACCAUCACAGAAAUCUACACCUGGUCGGAAUGCAGACAACAACUCAUCAUGCAGUGUCCAGGCCCACUAGAUAUAUUACUUGGUUCCUACACCUAAAACUCAAGGAACCCAGUGACAGCACUAAUAGACACAGAAACACAGAAGGGAGAAAUCUCAAGGAGCCUACCCUUAGACAGUUACAGACUCAGGACUGCUGAGAGUGGGAGAAUUCAUACUAUAGAUAACGCCACUCAGGCACACACACAACUGGUUAUCCAGUGCCAAGUUGUGAGCUCUGAAGUCAUAUACUCAUAAGCAAUACUAAACAGACUAGGCAGGGUGUAUGUGUGUGUGUGUGUGUGUGUGUGUGUGUGUGUGUGUGUGUGUGUGUGUACAAUAAUCAAAGAAUAAGAAGCCAUGAAUUUCAGUGGGACUAACAGGGAAUGGGGAGGAUUAGAGAGAGAGGGCA
rnacentral:lncRNA from 1 species